AGUGGUUGGGCAGGUCCUGACAGAAUUUGAAUGUACAGACAAAUGCACCGAGUGUCAGUGAAUGAGAAAUCUCACCCGGAUUUCCCCAGCAACCUGACUUUUUCUGGAAUUAAAAACCAAGGCAGCAAAUGCACAGAGGAAGCCAUGGUUCCUGUGCCUCCCAGAGAAGGAAGCUUGGUCAGCCUGAUGAUUAAAAAUAGAAGAAAGAAGUAGAACAACAGAAAAAGAAUAUGAGAUCUUCUACCCAGAGGAGCAAGCUGCCAGGUGGUGUGUUGGACUGUAUUCCCAUCCAGGAAUAAACUGACAUGCUGCUAUUUUGUGUUUCCCUGAAUCCCGAUGGAUACUAGCUGAAAUGGCACUUCCCCACUCCCAGACUCGCUGUCUCUCCCAGCCGGCCCCAGAGGAAGGCCCUGUCCUGCCUGGGCUGGGCACAGUCUCUGCCCGGGAUGGGAGCCACAGCUGCUGCUCCACACUCUAUUUUUAGAUCCA